AGAAAGAGAAGAAAACGAAAACUGGAGCAAGCAAGGGUUGAAGGUGUUCUCCUGAUAACUAACACUGUAUAAGUAUCAUCGACAAGUUUGAAGGUUGCAGAACAGAAGGCUACUGAGCGCUUUAUAUAAAUACUGUUCGAAGAUAACAAGUUCGUGAUGAAAGGCAUCAGUGUCCUAUUGUUUUGUGUAUUCAUUUCACAAACUGUCUCGUAUCAACCGAAUAGCACUCACAACCAUAAACAAAAAGGAACGUAUGUAAGUUUGGGUAAACUGAUUGAAAGUAGCCAUGUGAAGAGAGCUGCUUGUACAAUGGGGUCCUGUGGAAAAGGCGUAGUGCUUCCUUGCUGCCCUGGUUAUAAAUGUGAAUGUGAUGAUGCAGGAAAUAAAUGUAUGUGUAAACAAUGAGAAAAUAUAAAAACCAUAACCUACAACUAUGAAUUUUCAACAACCCGAUGUUAGUUGGAUGAUCGUAUCUAAUAUCUAAAAUAUUUAUGGUAUUAAUCCGUCAAACUUUAAAGAAAUUCCAAGGAAAUAAACGUAUUAAAUAAUGACAAA